rnacentral:rRNA from 1 species
AUUGAACGCUGGCGGCAUGCCUUACACAUGCAAGUCGAACGGUAACGGGCCUUCGGGUGCCGACGAGUGGCGAACGGGUGAGUAAUACAUCGGAACGUGCCCGAUCGUGGGGGAUAACGAGGCGAAAGCUUUGCUAAUACCGCAUACGAUCUACGGAUGAAAGCAGGGGACCGCAAGGCCUUGCGCGGACGGAGCGGCCGAUGGCAGAUUAGGUAGUUGGUGGGAUGAAAGCUUACCAAGCCGACGAUCUGUAGCUGGUCUGAGAGGAUGAUCAGCCACACUGGGACUGAGACACGGCCCAGACUCCUACGGGAGGCAGCAGUGGGGAAUUUUGGACAAUGGGCGCAAGCCUGAUCCAGCCAUGCCGCGUGCAGGAUGAAGGCCUUCGGGCUGUAAACUGCUUUUGUACGGAACGAAAAGCCUUCUUUUAAUACAGGAGGGUCAUGACGGUACCGUAAGAAUAAGCACCGGCUAACUACGUG